UUUUUUGCUAAUGAGCUACACCUGCAGUGAGCGCGGCGAGUAAAACAACUCAUACCGCUACUUACCAAAAUGUCGAUGCGUAUACACGAAUCGAGUUGAGGUGGAGCGUUGUAUUCCAUCCCGGAUAUCACCUGUUUCUCCACAAAAUUUCGGUAAGCUUCUGGGUCGCUCUGGCAAAGGUCGUCCAACAUGGACCACAGCUGGUUGACUUGCUGGAGAACACCUCCUGGGACGCCGCCGGCCGACAUUACCAACCCAAGACAGUCAGAGUUGGUAGAAAGAUCCAUCCGAGGAAUUUGGCCACCUUGGUGUAGACUCCAGGAUGGUUAGGCUCGGCGCAGCCGUUCCCCCAGCUGACCACCCCCAUCAGCCUCCACACAUUCUCAUCCUGGCACACUAGAGGCCCGCCACUAUCCCCCUGCAACGCAAAUAUCAUCCAUGAGCCACUGAUCCUGUCUUGGAAACAUCAAAACAAGGUUCAAUUUACGCCAACACCGGGGCCGUGGAGAAAGUGACGAAAGGACACCAUGGCAUGAUGUCAAAAGUAUUACGCAAACAUGGUGUGUGUGUUAUGGCAUAAAGAAACUGCUGCCAGCACUUGUAAUUAAGAGGUCUGCCUGAGCUUUGCCACUCUCACCGUGCUGCACAUGGAGCUUUGGGAGUCCCGCCACUCUCAUUUUGAGCUCCUUCCACAUCUGGAUUAAGACGCAGGCCAGCUGCGGCUCGGGCACGCUGCCAUCAGGGGUCAGCACAGAGUCUGGAAUCAUUCCAGCCCACAUGACACAAAUAAAUAAGCCACUGGGAAGGUUUGUGGCCGGAGCCAAUAAAGUGUUAAGAGGGAAUUGCCCGGCGUGACGAUGGCAAAAGCUGAGAAAGUCCCAAUGUUGACGCUGAAUUAGCAAAGCUACUGCAGUGGCCGAUGGAUUCGACACAAUGAAAGGAAAAUGAAGAGUUGUGCCUGAAUCCACACCGAGAAAACACUUUCCACACGGGGUGUUAAAAAGCUGCAAUGAGGAGGGACUUGACUGCACACAUGGCAAGAAGAACAACCCUGAUUGGACACCAGCUCGAGCUUCGACC